rnacentral:tRNA from 1 species
GAGGGUAUAGCUCAGUGGUAGAGCACAUGCUUAGCAUGCACAAGGUCCUGGGUUCAGUCCUCAGUAUCUCUA